rnacentral:tRNA from 1 species
UUUGUUGUAGUCUAGUUGGUUAGGAUACUCGGCUCUCACCUGAGAGACUGGGUUCAAAUCCCGGCAACGGAA